GAACGUUUUCUGACUGGCAGAAGGAUAUUCAGUUUUCUUUUUGCCCAACCUUGUCAGUCUGGUGCUAAAAAGAAGAGAUAGAACCACAUUUAUGUGUAAACACUGACAGAGGAAUAAAAGGACUAGUUUAUUAUGAAUACACCACAUUGGUUUGUGCAGGUAAACGAUUUGCUGCUUUCUGUUACAUUUGGAAUGCAGUCCAUGUGAUACCAUCGACUUGUGAAAAUGUUUAAUACCAAAUUUUUCCUUCGAAUCAAAGCUGUUUUAUUUGGUAACACUUCUUGUGAUAGUAAUCCGGCUGGUGCUAGUACUUCAAUUUUGUUCUUACAUGAAAAAAAGAAUUGUGAAUUUUAGCAUUGUAAAUCAUGUUAUAAUGUUUUAUUUAUAAAAAUAGUUUUUAAAUUUACAUGUUUUAUAAGAAAUAUUGUAUUGUAAACUGGCUUAAAAUUCAGAAUUUUAGUUUUAAA